CCCUCAGAGUGCGAAUGGAUUUUGUGUGUAUGCGGAUGUCUGUGGCGAGUGCUAAAGUGAGUGAGUGAGUGAGUGGAUGACUGGAUGACUGUUAGUGCGUGUGAGUAUAUUUCUAUAAAAACCUACACAGUGAUCUUAUUUGAUCCGAUCGGAGUCGGCUCUGCUCUGAUCGGAAAUGACAGGAAACCCGCUCGCUAGCCUCCGUGGCGAUGAGCAGCCGGCAACAUUACAAACCCCAGGGCCUCCACGCUUUCUGGUGUGGUCAGAGGUGAUGAAUUGAUCAGAUAUACUAGUUCUGGGUGAGUUUGGGUUCACCUCAAGCUUUACAAUGAACAAUGAGUAUAGAGGCGAUUCUGAUCUAA
rnacentral:snoRNA from 1 species